AUUGAACGCUGGCGGCAGGCCUAACACAUGCAAGUCGAACGAGUGGCGGACGGGUGUGUAAUAUCUGGGAAACUGCCCGAUGGAGGGGGAUAACUUCUGGAAGCGGUAGCUAAUACCGCAUACCAUCGGAUGUGCCCAGAUGGGAUUAGCUAGUAGGUGGGGUAACGGCUCACCUAGGCGACGAUCCCUAGCUGGUCUGAGAGGAUGACCAGCCACACUGGAACUGAGACACGGGCCAGAUUCCUACGGGAGGCAGCAGUGGGGAAGAUUGCACAAUGGGCGCAAGCCUGAUGCAGCCAUGCCGCGUGUAUGAAGAAGGCCGUCGGGUUGUAAAGUACUUUCAGCGAGGAGGCGUUACUCGCAGAAGAAGCACCGGCUAACUCCGUGCCAGCAGCCGCGGUAAUAC
rnacentral:rRNA from 1 species